GACGAACGCUGGCGGUGUGCUUAACACAUGCAAGUGGUGCGACGAACCAGAGCUUGCUCUGGGGCAAAGCCGCGAACGGGUGAGUAACACGUGGGUAAUCUACCCCGAUGACCGGGACAACCCGAGGAAACUCGGGCUAAUACCGGAUGUGGUACGGAGACAUAAGUCUCUUUACUAAAGGUAGCUUCGGCUUCCGCAUUGGGAGGGGCCCGCGGCCCAUUAGCUAGUUGGUGGGGUCAAGGCCUACCAAGGCAACGAUGGGUAGCUGGUCUGAGAGGACGAUCAGCCACACUGGGACUGAGACACGGCCCAGACUCCUACGGAGGCAGCAGUGGGGAAUCUUGCGCAAUGCGCGAAAGCGUGACGCAGCAACACCGCGUGAGGGAAGACGGCCUUAGGGUUGUAAACCUCUUUCAGAUGGGACGAAGGUGAUGCGGUGAAUAGCCGAUGUCAUUGACGGUACGUCAGAGAAGCUCCGGCUAACUACGUGCCAGCAGCCGCGGUAAU
rnacentral:rRNA from 1 species